rnacentral:rRNA from 1 species
UACGUAGGGUCCAAGCGUUAUCCGGAUUUAUUGGGCGUAAAGAGCGUGUAGGCGGCCAAACAGGUCAGCUGUGAAAACUCGAGGCUCAACCUCGAGACGUCGGUUGAAACCGUUUGGCUAGAGUCCGGAAGAGGAGAGUGGAAUUCCCGGUGUAGCGGUGAAAUGCGCAGAUAUCGGGAGGAACACCUGUGGCGAAAGCGGCUCACUGGACCACAACUGACGCUGAGGCGCGAAAGCUAGGGGAGCAAACAGG